CACUCACACUCCUCCCACACGAAGAAGAAGAAGAAGAAGAAGAAAAAAAAAAAACGUGCUGAGCGCUCCGCUACUGUGUGUUCAUGUCCUCUUCUGAGCCUGAAGAUGAAAUAAAACCACAACUGCUGUAAGCAGGACGCCGUCUUCACAACUCAGACAAAUUGCAGGCACUAUGAACCGGAGCAAGGACUAAUCUCGCCUCAUAAUGAGGCGGUGACCUCCUAUUUGUUCUGAGCAAUAACUGCAAAUCCAGAUUUACACGAUGUUGAUAAAGACGACAUUGUGUCCGCCUGUAAGACGUGUUAUGAGACGGUACGCAGGAGC